ensembl:miRNA predicted gene, 23556
ACCACCUUGGGAAUCUUGUUAAGCAGAAUCUAAUUUCAAAUGCCUGGGGUCUUAGAUUCUACAUUCCUAACAAGUUCCCAGGAGAUACCAAU